AUACGGAGGAUCCGAGCGUUAUCCGGAUUUAUUGGGUUUAAAGGGUGCGCAGGCGGCCAUUUAAGUCAGCGGUUAAAUCGUGGGGCUCAACCCCAUUCUGCCGUUGAUACUGGGUGGCUUGAUUGCGGUCGAGGUUGGCGGAAUUCGUUGUGUAGCGGUGAAAUGCAUAGAUAUGACGAAGAACACCGAUUGCGUAGGCAGCUGACCAGACCGCAAAUGACGCUCAUGCACGAAAGUGCGGGGAUCGAACAGGAUUAGAUACCCUUGUAGUCCGCACAGUAAACGAUGAAUACUUGUUUUCGGCGAUAUAAUGUCGGAGGCAAAGCGACAGCGAUAAGUAUUCCACCUGGGGAGUACGCCGGCAACGGUGAAACUCAAAUGAAUUGACGGGG
rnacentral:rRNA from 1 species